CCUACGGGCGGCAGCAGUGGGGAAUAUUGGACAAUGGGCGAAAGCCUGAUCCAGCCAUGCCGCGUGUGUGAAGAAGGCCUUCGGGUUGUAAAGCACUUUCAGUGGGGAAGAAAGCCUUGGGGCUAAUACCCUCGAGGAAGGACAUCACCCACAGAAGAAGCACCGGCUAACUCCGUGCCAGCAGCCGCGGUAAUACGGAGGGUGCGAGCGUUAAUCGGAAUUACUGGGCGUAAAGCGCGCGUAGGCGGUCUGAUAAGCCGGUUGUGAAAGCCCCGGGCUCAACCUGGGAACGGCAUCCGGAACUGUCAGGCUAGAGUGCAGGAGAGGAAGGUAGAAUUCCCGGUGUAGCGGUGAAAUGCGUAGAGAUCGGGAGGAAUACCAGUGGCGAAGGCGGCCUUCUGGACUGACACUGACGCUGAGGUGUGAAAGCGUGGGUAGCAAACAGGAUUAGAUACCCCAGUAGUC
rnacentral:rRNA from 1 species